rnacentral:rRNA from 1 species
CUACGGGGCGCACCAGUCGAGAAUCAUUCGCAAUGCGCGAAAGCGUGACGAUGCGACGCUGCGUGGAGGAUGAAGGCCCUCGGGUCGUAAACUCCUGUCAGGAGGGAAAAGCCGGCACUUGGUCAAUACCCUUGUGCCCCGAUGGUACCUCCAGAGGAAGCCACGGCUAACUCUGUGCCAGCAGCCGCGGUAAUACAGAGGUGGCGAGCGUUGUUCGGAUUUACUGGGCGUAAAGGGUGCGUAGGCGGCGUGCAAAGCUGGAUGUGAAAUCCCGGGGCUCAACCCCGGAACUGCAUCCGGAACUGGGAUGCUUGAGACCAGGAGGGGAUAGCAGAAUUCUAGGUGUAGCGGUGAAAUGCGUUGAUAUCUAGAAGAAUACCGGUGGCGAAGGCGGCUCUCUGGAAUGGUUCUGACGCUGAGGCACGAAAGCGUGGGGAGCAAACAGGAUUAGAUACCCCAGUAGUC